ensembl:lncRNA DCTN1-AS1 DCTN1 antisense RNA 1
ACCAUUUCACAACUUCAGCAAAAGCCAAAGCAGCCAACAAAGCCACAGCCCUAUCGGCUGUACUGGGCUCUGCCUUUUGGGCAGCUCGCCGGCCACUCCCCAAAAGCAGAGCAUUCCAUCCUUUCUCUUUUUAAACCCACGUCAUCAUCUGAUCAUAAUGGAAAUCAAUCUCCUCAAACCACCAUGCAAAGGCGUAUCCAUGGCAACCUCAAAAGGAAGGACACAGAGAUGAUGCUUCAGUGGCUGCAGCAGGAAAAGCUCUUCGCCUCUCGGUACCUUAAGUAUACCUGAGUAGCCAGUGGUCAACAUGGGUUUGCUGCUCUCCUCACUGCAAUAAAUGACGUCCAGCCCUGACUGAAAACUGCGCACCGACCGCAGCCGGGAUUACAUCAAUCAGGCACAAAGCUGGACACCUGGGACAGGAUAAGCGCACGCGCACUGUGCCUGGGAAGCCGAUUAGGACCAUAAGAAAUCGGCGUGUCGUGGCGAGCGCCCUCUUUCGGCGGAGGGGAGAAAGCGCAGAAGGGCUGGAGGACUUAUUUGCAAGUGUUAAACUGCUAAUUAAAACAAUAGCGAUAAACCAUAUCUCCUCCAUUAGCCUGGGGGAGAAAAUUAAAUGUUGCUGCUACUCAGUGUUACCUGUCAUAUGGGGAUACAGGCAUUCUCAUGCGCUUAUGAUGGGAAUGUAAAAUACAAAUUUACAUAAUGGCAUUUUAAAAUUUUAGACAUAGGUUCAAAUUCUUUUUUUUCUGUUUUUAAGACAAGGUCUCGCUCUGUUGUCUAGACUGGAGUGCGGUAGCACGCACAAUCAUGGCUCAUUGCGGCCUUGACUUCUCAGGCUCAGGCCAUCCUCCCACCUCUCAGCCUCCGUAGUAGCUGGGUCUGCAGGCGCGCACCACCAUGCCCUUUUAAUUUUCGUUUUUUGUUUUUUGUUUUUUUGUAAAGACGGGGUUUCACAAUGUUGCCCAGGCUGGUCUCGAACCCCUGGGCUCAAGCGAUCCAAUCGCUUCGGCCUCCCAAAGGGCUGGAAUUACAGACAUGAGCCACCGCACCCGCCUGGGUUCAAAUUCUAACUGCAAUUUACUAGCCGUGUGAAAUCUAGAGUUACUUAUUUACCCUCUCUGUGCCUCUGUUUUCUUAUUUGUUAAAGUGAGAAUGUAAAUGAUGGUACCUAUCUCAUUAUGUUGUUAGAAGGAUUAAGUUAAUCCAUGUAAAGAGCUGGAAAUAUAACUAUUGUAAUGUUAUAUUUAUUUCAGUUAAUCUCAGAUUUAAAACAAACUGAAAAAUUCAUAAAGUUGCUGUAAGGGGCAGUAAGCAGUAGAAGGGAUGCAUUGAGUAUCCCCUUUAUUACUCCCCCCUUUUCCCUAUUUCACCUUCUAAAUAUUUAUAAUUAUUAUUUUGAAUAGAUAAUACGUUUACAUGGCUCAAAAAUCAGAACACUAUUUUAGAAUAUACACAGAGAAACCUCCCUUCAACCCUGGUUCCCAUCGACUCCAUCCCCCUUGCCUGCUACAGAUAAUGCUUAUUAGUGUCUUCUUGUUUAUCUUUUCAGUGUUUUGUGCAAAUAUAAACUCAUAUGAAUAUAUAGUCUUACUCCUCCCAUUUCUUAUGCCAAAUGUAGCAUGCCAGAUACAAUUGGCAUAAGUUCUGUUCACUUAAUCUAUUCUGAAAAUCUUUCUAAAUCAAUAAAUUAGAGAUCUUCCUCAUUUUUCAGCUGCUUAGUACUCUAUUGCAUGGAUACACAUAAUUUAUUAACCAGUUUCUUCUAGUUACAUACUUUAUUUCCAGUCUUUUAGUAUUACAAUCUUGCAAUGAAUCACUUUGAACAUAAUGACAUUCCAAUGUGAGCAGGCAUAUCUCUAGGAU